rnacentral:rRNA from 1 species
GAUGAACGCUGGCGGCGUGCCUAAUACAUGCAAGUCGAGCGAACAGACGCGGAGUUUGCUCCUCUGACGUUAGGGGCGGACGGGUGAGUAACAUGUGUAUCACCUACCUAUAAGUCUGGGAUAAUUUCGGGAAUCCGGAGCUAAUACCGGAUAAUAUCUUGAACCGCAUGGUUCAAUGGUGAAAGACGGUGUUGGUGUAACUUAUAGCUGGUUCUGCGCCGCAUUAGCUAGUUGGUAAGGUAACAGCUUACCAAGGCAACGAGGCGUAGCCGAAUGGAGAGGGUGAUCGGCCACACUAGAAGUGGAACACGGUCCAGACGCCUACGGUAGGCAGCAGUAGGGAAUCUGCCGCAAAAGGCGAAAACUUGACGGAGCAACGCCGCGUGAGUGAUGAAAGUCUUCGGAUCGUAAAACUCUGUUAUUAGGGAAGAACAAAUUUGUAAGUAACUGUGCACGGCUUGACGGUACCGAAUCAGAAAGCCACGGCUAACUACGUG